rnacentral:misc_RNA from 1 species
AAUGGGGUGCUCAAACCUGAUGUAAUGAUUUUGUUACUUCAUCUUGCCAUCAUUUUUUUAAAAAGAGAUGCAUAAGUGAUGGCCCACAUUUUUUUAAACAAUCUUCUUGACUAGCUUUAAGGGUGAUCUGCAUGUGUGUACCAACUUUAUACAUGCAUGCCCACGGCUUUGUGGGUGAAAAUGAGCCAAGCCAAGCUUUGAAGAGCUUAGGCUUGGCUCCUUAGAUUUUCACUAGGCUCAAGCCUAGAUUUGAAGACCAAGCUCGGCUUGCUUAGAUUUUAUUAGUCCACGGAUUGGCUCAAGCUUGGCUUACAUUUGGCUUGUUUAUCAAGCUCAUGAGCUCAACUCACAUUCAAGUCAUUUAUCAAGAUUGCAAGCUCAAGCUCUACUCAUAAGUUUAAUUAGCCAAAUUUUUAAAAAAUUAUAACUUUUAUGGAGAAUUAUUAUUAACUAAAAAAAUUAUUGUUAUCUAAACUUUAUGGCUGUAAAUGGAGGAAAUAUUAAUGUGUACCACUUAUGGUAGGCUUACAGGUUGAUAGGCUUACAUAGAUUAUUUUUAAAUUAUUUGAUUAACAAGUGAUGGCAUUUAGUCACUCAUAUGCAUAAGUUUGUGACUGUAAUAAAGGUUUUAAUAUUUCUACUGUCUUGUAAUCUACUAUUCAAUUCUAAAGGUGGAUAUAAAUUUAGCUUUGUACUUGCAGACAAACAAUGUGCAUUUAUUCAUGUUGCAUGUAUACAUUUAUGAUCUUUUUUUUUUAUAUACCUAUGACAAAUAGAUGAAACAUUUUAUUGAUUUUUUUUAAUUGUUGAAGGUUGUUUUCUUUGGUGAUAAUGUUCCAAAGGAUAGAGCAGACAAGGCAAUGGAGGCUGCAAAAGGAUGUGAUUCAUUCCUUGUUCUGGGAUCAUCUCUAAUGACCAUGUCUGCUUUUCGACUUGUU